rnacentral:rRNA from 1 species
AACGAACGUUAGCGGCGCGCUUAACACAUGCAAGUCGAGCGAGAAGGGGGCAACCCCAGUAAAGCGGCGCACGGGUGAGUAACACGUAGGUAAUUUACCUCGAGGUGGUGGAUAACCUUCCGAAAGGAGGGCGUAAUACAGCAAUGAGACCACGUCUUCGAAAGAGGAUGAGGGUUAAAGCGGGCCUCUAUACAUAAGCUCGCGCCACGAGAUGAGCCUGCGGCCCAUCAUGGUAGUUGGUAGGGUAAUGGCCUACCAAGCCGAAGACGGGUAGCUGGUCUGAGAGGAUGAUCAGCCACACUGGAACUGAGACACGGUCCAGGACUCCUACGGGAGGCAGGC